rnacentral:lncRNA from 1 species
GGAAGAAUUGUUAGUCUUUGAUUCAGUUACAACAGCGGCAUGUAAUUUGAGAACCUUUGAUAAAAUUCUUCAAAUGCGCUAACUGUAAGUUGUUCGUCGUUUUUAAUUUCUUGUUUGAUGCCUUUGGUUUUAAUAUAUAUUCUCAUGAUUUAAGAUUCAUACUUUGUUUAUGUUUCUCAGGUGAAGUACUCAAGAGAGCCCGACAAUAUUGCCAAAUGUAAUUCAUUGUUCUUCUUAAUUGCAUUUUAUUUGUUCUAGAUGCAAGCCACUGGCCAGAGCCGCCAUUUAGGGUUACGCGUUUCCUCCUCCCAACCCCAUAAAUACCCCAAACACUCUUGCCUCCGCCACCUUACAACUAACCCAUACCAGUUUGAUGCAAAUAAAACAACGCCGACGAGAUUUGAGGAACCCGUAGCGCAAUUAGGAGUGUAUUCACAUUGUAGUCACAUUGUAGUCACGUUGGAGUCACAUUGGACUCACUGUUAUUGAAUAAAUACAUACUUAAUAUGACUACAGUCAUG